UACGUAGGUGGCAAGCGAUACUCGGAAUCACUAGGCGUAAAGCGCAGGUAGGCGGUUGGAUAAGUUUUUUGUGAAAGCUCCCGGCUUAACUGGGAGAGGCCAAGAAAUACUGUCUGACUCGAGUGUGGUAGGGGAACUGGAAUUCCUGGUGUAGCGGUGAAAUGCGUAGAUAUCAGGAGGAAUACCUAUGGCGAAAGCAAGUUUCUGGGCCAUCACUGACGCUGAGCUGCGAAAGCUAGGGGAGCAAACAGG
rnacentral:rRNA from 1 species